rnacentral:rRNA from 1 species
UACAGAGGUCCCAAGCGUUGUUCGGAUUCAUUGGGCGUAAAGGGUGUGUAGGUGGCGCCGUGAGUCGGGUGUGAAAUUUCGGAGCUUAACUCCGAAACUGCAUUCGAUACUGCGGUGCUUGAGGACUGGAGAGGAGACUGGAAUUCAUGGUGUAGCAGUGAAAUGCGUAGAGAUCAUGAGGAAGACCAGUGGCGAAGGCGGGUCUCUGGACAGUUCCUGACACUGAGACACGAAGGCCAGGGGAGCAAACGGG